GACGAACGCUGGCGGCGUGCUUAACACAUGCAAGUCGAACGGAAAGGCCCUGCUUUUGUGGGGUGCUCGAGUGGCGAACGGGUGAGUAACACGUGAGUAACCUGCCCUUGACUUUGGGAUAACUUCAGGAAACUGGGGCUAAUACCGGAUAGGAGCUCCUGCUGCAUGGUGGGGGUUGGAAAGUUUCGGCGGUUGGGGAUGGACUCGCGGCUUAUCAGCUUGUUGGUGGGGUAGUGGCUUACCAAGGCUUUGACGGGUAGCCGGCCUGAGAGGGUGACCGGCCACAUUGGGACUGAGAGACGGCCCAGACUCCUACGGGAGGCAGCAGUGGGGAAUAUUGCACAAUGGGCGGAAGCCUGAUGCAGCAACGCCGCGUGCGGGAUGACGGCCUUCGGGUGGUAAACCGCUUUCGCCUGUGACGAAGCGUGAGUGACGGGAAUGGGUAAAGAAGCACCGGCUAACUACGU
rnacentral:rRNA from 1 species